rnacentral:misc_RNA from 1 species
GUAUUGUAUUGCGUUAAACGCGGCAAACAUUCCAUAAGACUUCACUACGGUGUAUGUAUAAAGACGCAGAACCACAGGGAAGAGGACGGCAAGUCCUCCAGACCAUAGAACUACGGUGGGUGCACAGGUGUGAGUGGAUGUGUGAACAGAGCGUGCACAUGCCCCCUUGUUUUGAGGACCAGCAACAGCUCGUGUCGACAACUCAGUAAUGAUCCUUCCGCAGGUUCACCUACGGAAA